rnacentral:rRNA from 1 species
CCUACGGGUGGCAGCAGUGAGGCAUAUUGGUCAAUGGCCGGAAGGCUGAACCAGCCAUGCCGCGUGCAGGUCAGUGCCCUAUGGGCGUUAAACUUCUUUUGUGCGGGAGCAAUCAUGGUCACGUGUGGCCAGACGAGAGUACCGUACGAAUAAGCAUCGGCUAACUCCGUGCCAGCAGCCGCGGUAAUACGGGGGAUGCAAUCGUUUUCCGGAUUUAUUGGGUUUAACGGGUGCGUAGGCUGUGAGGUAAGUCAGCGGUGAAAUGCCCCCGCUCAACGGGGUGAAGUGCCAUUGCUACUGCCUGGCUUGAAUGCGCAUGCCGUGGGAGGAAUGUGUGGUGUAGCGGUGAAAUGCAUAGAUAUCACACAGAACACCGAUUGCGAAGGCAUCUCACGAAGCCGCGAUUGACGCUGAUGCACGAAAGCGUGGGUAUCAAACAGGAUUAGAUACCCUAGUAGUC